rnacentral:rRNA from 1 species
GGUAGUCCACGCCCUAAACGAUGUCAACUAGCUGUUGGGGCCUUCGGGCCUUGGUAGCGCAGCUAACGCGUGAAGUUGACCGCCUGGGGAGUACGGUCGCAAGAUUAAAACUCAAAGGAAUUGACGGGGACCCGCACAAGCGGUGGAUGAUGUGGAUUAAUUCGAUGCAACGCGAAAAACCUUACCUACCCUUGACAUGUCUGGAAUCCCAAAGAGAUUAGGGAGUGCUCGCAAGAGAACCGGAACACAGGUGCUGCAUGGCUGUCGUCAGCUCGUGUCGUGAGAUGUUGGGUUAAGUCCCGCAACGAGCGCAACCCUUGUCAUUAGUUGCUACGAAAGGGCACUCUAGUGAGACUGCCGGUGACAAACCGGAGGAAGGUGGGGAUGACGUCAAGUCCUCAUGGCCCUUAUGGGUAGGGCUUCACACGUCAUACAAUGGUCGGGACAGAGGGUCGCCAACCCGCGAGGGGGAGCCAAUCCCAGAAACCCGAUCGUAGUCCGGAUCGUAGUCUGCAACUCGACUACGUGAAGUCGGAAUCGCUAGUAAUCGCGGAUCAGAAUGUCGCGGUGAAUACGUUCCCGGGUCUUGUACACACCGCCCGUCACACCAUGGGAGUGGGUUCCACCAGAAGUAGUUAGCCUAACCGCAAGGAGGGCGAUUACCACGGUGGGGUUCAUGACUGGGGUGAAGUCGUAACAAGGUAGCCGUAUCGGAAGGUGC